rnacentral:rRNA from 1 species
UGUAAGCGUAUACCAAAGUUGUUGCAGUUAAAACGCUCGUAGUCGGAACUUGGCCGUGUCGGAUGAGUGCACGUCGUGUGCGCGCAUUGCAGAUAUGGCUUUUGUGGUUUCUGCGUACGAUGAGGCACGUUUAUUCGUGAACGUCGUUCCGCAGCCACUCUUUACUGUGAGAAAAUCAAAGUGCUCAAAGCAGGCAUUUGCCGUGAAUGUAUUAGCAUGGAAUAAUAGAAUAGGACUCGGCUCUAUUUUGUUGGUUUGUUGGGGCUGAGUAAUGAUUAAGAGGGACAGUUGGGGGCAUUUGUAUUUCGGCGCUAGAGGUGAAAUUCUUAGAUUGCCGAAAGACAAACUGCUGCGAAAGCGUCUGCCAAGGAUGUUUUCAUUGA